rnacentral:lncRNA from 1 species
AGACUAUGCACGAGAUUGAUGUAAGCACCUAAACACGAGAUUGAAAAUUGGCACUCUCUUUGGAUUGUCAGUCAACUUCCCAAUUGUGGCCAUUGAUUUUCUUGAGUUGAAGCAAUGCCUUACAAACCUACUUCACUAAGGAGCUCAAAUUGCCGUUGAUGGUCUAGACAUGCUGCACCGAAAUCAUUGAAGGCCGAACACUGAUAACAAUACCAUUGUAUAUCUAGUCAUAGUAUUCCAUUCCAACUAUCCCAAGGAAAUAAAGAUAUCUGAAAGCUGCACUCCAACCUGCAAGGCUGCAACAGUAAGGGGAGAAAAUUAGAAUACACAUAGGCUAGCAAAAAUGAUUACCAUGAUCUUAAAUAAGCAAGCGAUAGAGCAGUGUCGUUCUCACUAAGGCAAACGACAGAGUACAAUAGAUCGACCAUGGAUACAAGAAAGGAAUUAUAUUCAAUAUUUAAUAAUCUCCUCACUCAUCUCUGGUGCUCUGCAAGAAAGGAAUUAAACUCAAUAUUGAACAGUUCUCCAUUUUUCAUCUUGACUUGAUUCUGUUGUUAACUGCAUUCCCAAAAAAUAAUGCGCGUGUUCUGAAAUUUGAGUCAUCUAGCAAAACGUAGUUCAACCUAUAAAGUUGGUGCAGGCAUCCACUCUGCCUCUAAACCUCGAUUUAUCUUUCUGUCAUGGUCAUAUUUGCAGAAUUUAGUUUGGACCAUCAAGUUAGCAUUAAUUAACUCACAAGCUUAUAUGCAUCUCGACAUUUAAGUUUUACUCAAAUCUCUACAGAAAGGUGGAAAAAGAUGCAGGAACUAAAACCAGAUCGUGAACUUCUAAGAUAUCUCAAAACUGGCACAUGAGGGGACAUAUCCUAAUAUUAAACGUAAGUCGACAUGAAGAUAUCCCCUAGAUACAAACUUUCUGUAAUUUAUCAUGAAAAUUGUCACUGAUAUAGUCUAAAGUCCAAAAUUUCAUCAUUCUUGAUUAUUAUCAAAAACUUUUGUUUUGAUUGAUUAAAUAUACAUACCAGACCUGAAGACAAUGGUGCAUCCCUUGCCGUUUUGAAGUUAUAAGAAAUU